GGGCCUGUAGCUCAAUGGUCAGAGCCGUCGGCUCAUAACCGAUUGGUUGUAGGUUCAAGUCCUGCCGGGCCCACCA
rnacentral:tRNA from 1 species